GCCCCAGUGGCACAAUCGGUUAGCGCGCCGUACUUAUAAUGCGGAGGUUGUGAGUUCGAGCCUCACCUGGGGCA
rnacentral:tRNA from 1 species